AUUGAACGCUGGCGGCAGGCCUAACACAUGCAAGUCGAACGAGUGGCGGACGGGUGAGUAAUGUCUGGGAAACUGCCUGAUGGAGGGGGAUAACUACUGGAAACGGUAGCUAAUACCGCAUACCAUCGGAUGUGCCCAGAUGGGAUUAGAUAGUAGGUGGGGUAAAGGCGCACCUAGGCGACGAUCCCUAGCUGGUCUGAGAGGAUGACCAGCCACACGGGAACUUAGACACGGUCCAGAUUCCUACGGUAGGCAGCAGUGGGGAAUAUUGCACAAUGGUCGCAAGCCUGAUGCAGCCAUGCCGCGUGUAUGAAGAAGGCCUUCGGGUUGUAAAGUACUUUCAGCGGGGAGGCGUUACUCGCAGAAGAAGCACCGGCUAACUCCGUGCCAGCAGCCGCGGUAAUAC
rnacentral:rRNA from 1 species